GACGAACGCUGGCGGCGUGCUUAACACAUGCAAGUCGAACGGAAAGGCCCUGCUUUUGUGGGGUGCUCGAGUGGCGAACGGGUGAGUAACACGUGAGUAACCUGCUCUUGACUUUGGGAUAACUUCAGGUAACUGGGGCUACUACCGGAUAGGAGCUCCUGCUGCAUGGUGGGCGUUGGAUCGUUUCGGCGGUUGGGGAUGGACUCGCGGCUUAUCAGCUUGUUGGUGGGGUAGUGGCUUACCAAGGCUUUGACGGGUAGCCGGCCUGUGAGGGUGACCGGCCACAUUGGGACUGAGAGACGGCGCAGACGGCAACGGGAGGCAGCAGUGGGGAAUAUGGCACAAUGGGCGGAAGCCGGAUGCAGCAACGCCGCGUGCGGGAUGACGGCCUUCGGGGUGUAAACCGCGUUCGCCUGUGACGAAGCGGGAGUGACGGUAAUGGGUAAAGAAGCACCGGCUAACUACGUG
rnacentral:rRNA from 1 species